ACCUGGGCGGGUCACCAAACUGCAUAGAGGCAACUUUGCGCGUUGUGCUGUACCUUUAACGCUAAAUAGUUCACUCUUCCAUCUUGUGUCAUGGCAGUUAUUAGCAGAAAUAUGUAAUUAUUCUGCAGUCCGAAGAUAAAGCUCUUCCACGUCGAAGACAUCCAACACAAUUGUACAAACACAUAUUCAGGUUGCCCCGCCCUCGCGCCAGUAGACACAUCAUCAGAGAAGAGAAUAGAGGUGUUGCUGUAAGAGGCAGGGGAAGUUAUUCUGAUUGAAGGUUAUGAAGACUAACACAGUGCCUGUGUGCACCCAGAGGGAAGAGAGCAGCAUGGUGAGACCUAGAGGCGCAGAGGAAGGGAGGAUGGCAGGAUGAAGAGAACACAGGAAUGUGAGACAGCGUGGCUCAGGGGGUGAAAGAGAUUUGUCUCAAUGCACCACAGAGUGGGGCGGGGCGGGGCUGGAGAAGGGAGGCAGAAGACGCCAUAUGGCCCCUGCCUGGGCUGGGUUUGGGGUGACAGGAAGGAGGGAGCAUGAGAGGACGAGGCAGCAGGCAGGGGAGACGAUGAGACGGAACGCUUCCUUCUACAGUGCAGGGCAGAUAGACUGGGGCCGAAGGCCAGACAGGGGCCACUGACUGACACCAGAUCUGAUUGCAUCCAACACAGAGAUGCCAAACAGUGACAGGUGCCAGCACUGUUAGAGCAGAGUGGAAAGAGAGGGAGGGAAGACCAGACAACGAGACAAAUGAUGUUAAAGACGAGAGAAAACGAGGAUGUGGAACUUGUUUGCUUAGUCAGAACGCCGGCUCAGAACAGCGACUCAUUUUUAGCCGGCAAAUAAUGAGUCGCUGUUCUGAUGUAGAACUUGGAAGCGCUGAACGUAAACAGCAUAGGAGAAUGACUUAGAAGAAAAGUGAAGAAAUCGUUAGAUAAAGUUAUUUUUGUUUUGUUUUUGCGCACAAA